rnacentral:tmRNA from 2 species
GGGGCUGAUUCUGGAUUCGACGGGAUUUGCGAAACCCAAGGUGCAUGCCGAGGGGCGGUUGGCCUCGUAAAAAGCCGCAAAAAAAUAGUCGCAAACGACGAAAACUACGCUUUAGCAGCUUAAUAACCUGCUUAGAGCCCUCUCUCCCUAGCCUCCGCUCUUAGGACGGGGAUCAAGAGAGGUCAAACCCAAAAGAGAUCGCGUGGAUGCCCUGCCUGGGGUUGAAGCGUUAAAACGAAUCAGGCUAGUCUGGUAGUGGCGUGUCCGUCCGCAGGUGCCAGGCGAAUGUAAAGACUGACUAAGCAUGUAGUACCGAGGAUGUAGGAAUUUCGGACGCGGGUUCAACU